AGGUUUGUAGGUGCCAUCUUUCCUAAUGACAAAAAAGUAGGCACCUGGCAUGAUGCAGGACCUGUGCCCUCUUUCUGGCCUUAUGGCCUUCCUCAUCAGAGCCUUCUAUUGCUCCGCAUGGGCAAAUAAGAAAGAUUCAAGCCAAGGGAAAAUUGAGAUAAUAAUAAACUGUUAAAUACUGAGAGCUCCAGGCUUCUUCCAGAGAAAUGCAUUCUAUUCUAUUCCUCCAUAUUUUUCAAGUCCAGUUAUUAACCAAAACAAAGAAUCUCAGUAGGCAUGAAAGAUGAAAAUGGUUAAAUUUAAAAUUGAGAAUCAUUUGCGUCAAGAAUCACCAAUAAUUAUUUAUGACACUUUUAUGUCAAAUCUGUUGUGUUGAACCUUUAGUCAUGUUGGGAAAAUGUGGAAGAAAUUUUAGGAAAAGUAAUUGCCAUUGAAGCUAAUGUUAUAUAACCUUGAAUAUAAGAGUAAAUUAGGUAUUUUUUUUAAGAUAUGUAGUUUGGUAUAAAGUGACUUGAAAACUAUUAUUUG
rnacentral:lncRNA from 1 species